rnacentral:lncRNA from 1 species
CCCAGAUGAGCAUAUCUGAAACAGAGAGAUUAGUUAAUGCUUUCUUCUGCUGAUUUAGUGUGAACAUAUCCAAGAGAGCCGAGGCACUCCAGAUGGCAGGCAGCAAAAAUAGCUAAGAAAGAUGAUGUGUGUUAACUGUUUCUUAAUGACACCACUGGUUCACUGGGGGGAAGAGGGAGAAGGCAGCUUCUCUAUGUGCUGACUGGCUUCAGGGGCAAGACAGAGAUCUCUUCACCUGGUUCUCAGGAUCCACCUGGGUGAGAAAUCCCACCCGCAACAAAUGGAAAAAAACUGCUCUUCUAUCCAUGUCAUUAAUACGGUUUCUUCUUUUCUUUCUCCUUCUCCUGCUUCUUCUCCUCCUUUUCCUUGUUUUUAUUAUUAUUAUUAGUUUUGGCUUUUAAUUAAUAAGAACUUCAUGGGUCAGGCACCGUUUCAAACUUGGCUUGGCAUCAUCAAAAAAGUCUACAAGUGAUAAACACUGGAGAGUGUGUGGAGGAAAGGAACCCUCCUACACUGUUUGUGGGAAUGUAAAUUAGUGCGCCCACUAUGGAAAAAAGUGUGGAGCUUCCUUAAAAAACUAAAAAUGAAGCUACGAUAUGACCUAGCAAUCUCAUUCCUGGGCAUCUAUCUGAUGAGAAAACUCUAAUUCAAAAAGAUAUAUGCAUCCCAGUGUUCACAGCAGUUCUAUUUACAAUAGCCAAGACAUGGAAGCAACUUAAAUGUCCAUGAUAGAGGACUGGGUAAAGAAGAUGUGGUCCAUAUAUACAAUGGAAUAUUACUCAGCCAAAAAAAAAAAGAACAGUGCCAUUUGCAGCCACAUGGAAGGACCUAGAGAUUAUCAUAAUAAGUGAAGUAAAUCAGACAGAGAAAGAUGUCCCUUAUACGUGGACUCCUAAAACUGAUACAAAUGAAAACACAAACAGACCUCAGAUAUAGAAAAACAAAAUUACAGUUGCCAAAGGGGAAAGGGAGGGGGCUAUAAAUUAGGAGUUUGGGAUUAACAUACACUACUAUAUAUAAUCAAUGAAGACCUACUGUAUAGCACACGGAACUACAUUCAAUACCUUGUAGUAACGAGAACAUAAAAGAAUCUGAAAUAGAAUCUAUAUUUAUAUGUAUAUAUAUAACUGAAUUACUUUGCUGUACACCAGAAAUGAUCGCAAGGUCGAAAAUCCACUGGUUCAAGAAAAAAAAGAAGCGUAUUGCCUUGGGAGCCAGACAUCCUGGAUUCCAAUCUUAUUUGUGUGACUUUCAGAAAGUGAGUACUCUGGGACCAUUUGCCUGUAACGUGGACAUGAUGUCACCACCUCCCUUGGAGGUAGCUAGGGCUUGCAUGAGAUAAUGUACAUGAAGCACUUAGAAGAAUGCCUAGGACAUACCAAGUCCUCAACAGUAUUGGCACCCUCUCCCAAGACAAUUUCCAACCUCUACAGAUAGGAAAAAGGAAGGUUCCAGAUGUUAAGGAGCAUACCCAAGGUCACACGACUCAAGUUUGCAGACAGAUUUCAAUCUUACUCCUGAGAUCCUAUGACACCACCCCAGGCAGGAGACCCUCCUUCAGGAGAGCACGCCCCCUUGAGGAACGAGUAGACAAUUCAGGAGAAGAAGAUAAUCAUCAAUCCUCAGAACAGGGACAUGUCACUAGAAGGGAAAUUCAGAAACCAAAGCAUGGCCAGGCCCAUGUGACUUUUCCUUCUAUUAAAAAGGAAAGCUAACAGACAAAAUAACUGCCUUUGGGAGGACGGCAGAGAAAUAUUUUGGACAAGUAAUCUAAAUCUUUAAAUCACAAUAGUAACCAAUAAUACUUACCGACUCCCUACUAUUCGACAGGUAUUGGUUAAAUGCCUUGUAUCAUGCAUCAACAUCAGGUAUUCAUAUCAUGUCGUGUAUCAUGUAUCAAUAUUUUUUAUCCUCACAGUGACUCAAAGUCUGUUCUGUCAUUAUCCCCACUUUAGCCAUAAGGGAACUGGGGCACAGGCACUAUAAACAACGUACCCAGAGGCACAUGUUAGAAAGUGGAGUGCUCAACUGUGAACUCGGGCAGCCAGGAGCCGGAGGCCUGCGCCUCACCGUGGCUCUCUCCUGGCCCUGGUCGUCCAGGCUUCACUUGAUAGCUUCCAAGGCAGAGGUUCUCAAACCUGAGCAAGCAUCUAUGCCACCUGGACAGCCUGACAGACAGAGAAGGUUGGAACCCAGCCCAAGAGGUCCUGAUUCAUCAGGUCUGGGGCUGGGCUCAAGAAUCUGCAUUUCUAACAACCUUCCAUGGGAUGCUCAUGUGGCUGGUUUGGGAGCCACACUUUAAGAGCCACUGGUUAAUUAGAAUUCAGAACCUGAGUCAGAGUCACAGAAAAGUGGUUUGGGUCCAAGACGCACCACUGGGUAGUUGUGCGACACCAAGCAAGUCACUUAAAACCUUUGAGCUUCGGUUUCCUUAUCUGCUCUGCGGGGGUCUAAGUCAUUACUGUCUUAUUGACUAUAUAAAUAGUCAUUAAAAGGAUGCAGUUAAUAAAACCCAUCUCCUAGUGCUGUCAUGGAGAUUAAAUAAAAUACCAGUAUAAAGUACCUAGUAAGUAGCCUGGAACACAAUAAUAGCUCUCACAUGGUGGUAAAUAAAUAAAUUUGUCACAAAAUUAUUAGUCCUUCCUGUGUACACAGCAUGGGGAGAGAGAGAUAAAGCCACAUUUCCUGUCUGGGACAAGUGAACUGAAGGACUGAAAAAAUCCAAGAAGAAGCACAGAUGCAUAGACAGAUGCACACACCGUCCCCAGGACAUGCAUACUCAUGAACACACACACACACACACACACACACACACCACCCCACAUACACACCCCCCAAACAAUACAAACACAAAGUAAAUCAUAGAGCUGUGAUUCACCCACCCGAGCAUCUGCAGAGCACUAAGGGCCUUGGAGAAUGGAGACAGACUUACAGUGGGGCAAAUUAUGAGAGGUUUGUGGAGAUAGGACCAUGACAGGCUGCUUUUACAGUGUCUAGGCAUACUGCUCUAUUUCUUUCUUUUUUUUUUUUCUUUAAAAAGAAAGGUUGAGUGCCCACUAUGUGGCAGGCUCUGUGUUUAGUAUUUUGCAUUUCCUCUUCACACUCCCCUCCCCCCUCCCCCCCUCCCCCGCUGCCACCUCCAGCUGGCUGGCAGGUGGACAUCACUCUUCCCCUUUGACAGAUAAGCAAACAGGUCUGGCAUGCUUCGGCAAUUUGCCUUACAUCCACCAUGUGCAUGUGUAUGCCGCCCAGGUGUUGGGGGUGGAGAGUGGGGAGGACAGGAAGUUGUUCUCUUGCACUUGAACCCCAGGGAAGGAUCCUGUCAUUCUGCCCCAUGAUUUCCUCUAGAGGUGUGUUAGCAAGCUGAGCUCUGAAACUUCUAAUUCACCAUCCCCUUCCUUUAAAGAACGUUCCCCCCGAGGAAGGCAGAGAAGAUGUAAAUGCACAUACCAAAAUGAGCUUGGAACAUCUGAAGCAAAGCUGGGCGAGUUCCAGGGCAUCUUGAUGAGAUGCCGUCUGGGGCCCCGGGGACAGCCGCCUCCUUUAAUGACUCCCAGCCCAGCUCAGCUCGAGGCUCCCUCUGCAACGCCCGCGCCUCUCCGCUUCCUUCUUCAGAACAUGCCAGCGUUUGGAGGCUCAUCUAAGCAAUCAUGUGUAGGGAAGGUUGCUCUUCUCUCCAAAACCAUCCAGAACAUGCUCGUGCUUCUGAAAGAGAAGUUCCAGAUGUGUCUCUCCUGCAAAUAAUACAUCAUGUGAGGCAAGUGAUGAUGUUCGUCACGUGGACAAAAGAACAACUUACCUGGUCCCCGAGCUGUUCCCCAAACCCAUCCACUAGUCAUUGUAAGAGAUGCAGUGUGUGUGAUGCCUGGGAUAUUUGAGAGCUCUUUAAGCAUAGCAAUACCCACUAACUCAGAUGCCAGACUUCUAGUAACUUAACCAACAUUCAGUCCUGAAAUUAGAUACAAAUGAGAAGGGCUUGAUUUAGGUAGGAAUGGCUUUCAAAAAGCUCCCCCACACUCACAUACAUUUUAGCACUCAAAGGGCUCUAACUUGUUACAGGUUUCUAAUAAACCCUCAUAUGGGCUCCAGCCUAUAACAGACAAUUAGAAAGAUGCCAUACAGAGUUUUUGUCGUGGCACAGAAGAAACGAAUCUGACCAGGAACCAUGAGGUUGCGGGUUUGAUCCCUGGCCUCCUCAGUGGGUUGAGGAUCCAGUGUGACCAUGAGCUGUGGUGUAGGUUGCAGACGUGGCUCAGAUGUGGCAUUGCUGUGUGCUGUGGCAGCUACAGCUCCGAUUAGACCCCUAGCCUGGGAACCUCCAUAUGCCAGGAGUGCGGCCCUAAAAACAAACAAACAAACAAGCUGCCAUAUACUGCUUGGCCCAGGGAGGGUGAUGAGGUAGAUCACUUGCUGGUUCAGAGAAGGAUCCAUAUUCAAAGAAGCAGGAACCCUGCUCUGCACAACAAUCCCACAGGCGACCAGCAGUAAAGAAAGAAGCAAGUGACAGCCUCGAGUAGGGAAACUCUGCAAUUUCUGUUAACACUGGCAGAAGAGAGAACCAGUAGGUGAAGGAGUGAGGUAGAUGCCAUCCUGGCUGCAUCCCACAGGUCCUGGAACAGCAGCUCUGACUCAGAAAGUGAGAUCCAUUUCCUGCGAGGCUGUGGUCUAGAAUGGAAUUAUCAGGAAAGACAAGCCACCAAGGAAGACAAAGGCAGAUUGCCCUCCACGUACAACAAACAGGAGCUUCCCCCAAGGCCAUUUAACGUUUUCUCGGCAGAGGGAUGCAAGCCAGUCCACAUCUCCAUGACCAUGAACUGGAACGAUAUCUCUGCACUUGGAUGACAGUAGCUGCAUAGUAGGUCUACACACAGCAGUCAGAGCGGGGGACCAGGGCUUCCUUUUGGUUACUCAGGUCUCUGGAUUCUUAGAACCUCUGUGGUAUGUCUGAGUACUCCUCUUAGACGGCGUGAGCCUCCGUCCCCGGCCAUGGGUAAGAGAUCCGGACAUUCCAUUUGUUUAUUUUUGUUGCUGUUGGCAACAAAGAUAGUCUGAAUCUUGGCAAAGGCAGGCUGCCCAGAGCCCCAGGGGGAUAGAGUUGAGCACUGAGAGAAAAAGAGAAACAGACAACUGUGCGUCUGUGCUCAGCCCAGGGAAUGCGAUUCUAACUUCAGAGCUUGGGACCAGAGCUCCUUAAAAUUCUACAUUUUAGGUUCAGGUAGUCCACGGCUGCCUAAUUCAGACACCUCCAGGUGGGAGAAACCUCUGCUACCAAUUCAAGGAAAAACUGAGUUUCCCUCAAAAAAUGGUUUCUUCUUUUCUACUGUCUCCCCAACCCCUCUUCCUGUUGUGUUAUAGCAACUGAGAAUCACAUAAGCGACAAGGUCUCCUGCUUUGUUUUGGCCACUGCGAAGCUUAAGUAAAAAUCUGGCCAAUGUUCAGUGUGCAACGCUCAUACAGUGACUGCCGCUUUUGUCUGAGUACCAUCCCUUUUCCUUACACGAAAACAGACCCACCCAAGAAUAGAGGCUUCAGAAUGAGACUGGUUUGAUUAACAUACAAAUCCCCCUAGCAGAGUUCCCCUUGUUGCUCAGAGGGUUAAGGACCCCAUGUUAUCUGAGGAUGAGAGUUCCAUGCCUGGCCUCACUCAGUGCGCUAAGGAUUUGGUGUUGCUGUGGCUGUGGCAUAGGCUGGCAACUAUAUCUCUGAUUU